rnacentral:rRNA from 1 species
AUUGAACGCUGGCGGUAUGCUUAACACAUGCAAGUCGAACGGUAGCAGAAGAGAGCUUGCUCUCUUGCUGACGAGUGGCGGACGGGUGAGUAAUGCGUAGGGAUCUACCUUAAAGUGGGGGACAACCCGGGGAAACUCGGGCUAAUACCGCAUAAUUUCUAAGGAGAAAAGCUGGGGACCUUUUCGGAGGCCUGGCGCUUUAAGAUGAACCUACGUCCGAUUAGCUAGUUGGUAGGGUAAAGGCCUACCAAGGCGACGAUCGGUAGCUGGUCUGAGAGGAUGACCAGCCACACUGGGACUGAGACACGGCCCAG